rnacentral:rRNA from 1 species
CCUACGGGAGGCAGCAGUGGGGAAUCUUGCGCAAUGGGCGAAUGCCUGACGCAGCCAUGCCGCGUGAAUGAUGAAGGUCUUAGGAUUGUAAAAUUCUUUCACCGGGGACGAUAAUGACGGUACCCGGAGAAGAAGCCCCGGCUAACUUCGUGCCAGCAGCCGCGGUAAUACGAAGGGGGCUAGCGUUGCUCGGAAUUACUGGGCGUAAAGGGAGCGUAGGCGGAUAGUUUAGUCAGAGGUGAAAGCCCAGGGCUCAACCUUGGAAUUGCCUUUGAUACUGGCUAUCUUGAGUACGGAAGAGGUAUGUGGAACUCCGAGUGUAGAGGUGAAAUUCGUAGAUAUUCGGAAGAACACCAGUGGCGAAGGCGACAUACUGGUCCGUUACUGACGCUGAGGCUCGAAAGCGUGGGGAGCAAACAGGAUUAGAUACCCUGGUAGUCCACGCUGUAAACGAUGAGUGCUAGUUGUUGGCAUGCAUGCAUGUCGGUGACGCAGACUACGACAUAAGACACCUCCGCCGUGGGAGGUACGGUCGCGAAGUAAGUUAAACGUACGAAAGAAGUAGUUAGGCGUGAGAGNGCCGACGGACGACGACGAGGGAGGAGG